rnacentral:rRNA from 1 species
GACGUAGGGCGCGAGCGUUGUCCGGAUUUAUUGGGCGUAAAGAGCUCGUAGGCGGCUCGUUGCGUCGGCUGUGAAAACCCGCAGCUCAACUGUGGGCUUGCAGCUGAUACGGGCGGGCUGGAGUUCGGUAGGGGAGACUGGAAUUCCUGGUGUAGCGGUGAAAUGCGCAGAUAUCAGGAGGAACACCGGUGGCGAAGGCGGGUCUCUGGGCCGAUACUGACGCUGAGGAGCGAAAGCGUGGGUAGCAAACAGG